rnacentral:lncRNA from 1 species
UUACAUUGAUCCUCUUAAAUUGUUAAAGAAUGACACCAAUUUUUUCUAUUCUUUGAGUGAAAAUGAUGACACCACUUAUUAUCUUCUGAGCUUGUAGGUUGUUCCCUUGUAAUAAAAAAAGAAUGUGUUGCAAAGACUGAUUUUGUUACAGUGAUGAGAAUAAACCAUCAAUUUGGUCCCUAAAUUAUCAACCUCUCUC